GACUACAGCAGCGCGCGCGCUCUACCCAUACUCAGAGGUUGGAGGUAGAGGAGGAGCCUCUGCAGCCUCGCUCUCAGUCCGGAGACAAGGACGCGUUGGAGCCGAGAGGAAUUUAUACAUCUAAAAAUGAAGAAUACUCAUCGGAUUAGUAAAAUCGACAGAAAUGGAAAUUGAACAGUGUUAGAGGGAGUUGUGGUUAAACAAAUUCAUUACUCCACUGUUAGUGGAAUUCUGAAUUGGUCCAGCCAUUAUGAAAAGCAACUUGUUACAGAGCCUUCAAAAUAAUAAAAUGUGAUUAUUUUUUACCCUA